rnacentral:tRNA from 1 species
GCACCCGUAGCUCAGCUGGAUAGAGCGGCCCCCUCCUAAGGGGCAGGUCUCGCGUUCGAAUCGCGACGGGUGCACCA